GAUAGUCCCGUAAACGAAAAUGCAUCUUAAGUGAAAUCGAGUAGGUCGGAGCACGUGAAACUUUGACUGAAUAUAGGUGGACCAUCAUCUAAGGCUAAAUACUCCCAACUGACCGAUAGUGAACCAGUACCGUGAGGGAAAGGCGAAAAGAACCCCUGUGAGGGGAGUGAAAUAGAACCUGAAACCGUGUACGUACAAGCAGUAGGAGCCCUUCGAGGGUGACUGCGUACCUUUUGUAUAAUGGGUCAGCGACUUAUAUUUUGUAGCGAGGUUAACCGAUUAGGGUAGCCGGAGGGAAACCGCGUCUAAACUGGGCGUUAUAGUUGCAAGCGAUAGACCCGAAACCCGGUGAUCUAGCCUGGGGCUGGGUGAAGCUUGAGUAACAUCAACUGGAUGACCGACCCGCCGACAGU
rnacentral:rRNA from 1 species